CUGGCCUUGGUACAUAUGAUUACUGGAAUGUGACCACCUAUGGGGCAGGAGGGGUGUGUGUCACACACAUGCACACAUGCACACAGGAGUGAAAGAGCAGGAAGAAAGCACAUCUACCUGUCCUCACCUCCUGCUGGAAGCUGUAAACUGAACAGUGGAUUGCAUCUAAGAUGUGAGAAUAAACAGAAACUGCAAUGUCAACAAAGAGCUUAAUUAAGCAGAAGAUGCAAUGACAGCAAAUAUGUGAAAGCAAUCUUUAUUGAAGAUAGGCAGGCUCUAUAACUCAGACCAAUUGAAAAUGGCAUGUGAUGGACCACCAGUUUCCAGACACGAUGACUACGCAGCUUCCACUUCCUGUCUCCUGAACCACUACCUCUUGUAACCCAACUGUUAAGUGUGACCACACUCUAGCAGCUCUGUGGAGAACCCUCUGGGAAGAAGAGUCCAGGCAGAGGAACGAAGAUUCCCAGUCAAUAACCACUUCCACCUUGCCAGCCAUAGUUGAUGCUGCUCGGCAAUACAGACAAGUAAUUCCCACCAUGUCCAACCAAAAUGCAGAUUCAAGAGUGAAAUAACACAUCUCAAACCUUAAUCUAAGGUAUUCUUUUUUUUUUUUUUUGGAGAGG